GGAGGAUUCGCAUAGUGGUCGAGUGCGCUUGCUUGGAGUGCAAGUAUUCCGCUUAGCGGGAUCGCGAGUUCGAAUCUCGCAUCCUCCG
rnacentral:tRNA from 2 species